CUGUGUAUGGCAGGGGGCGGAGGCAGGGAGAAGGAGUGAGAGAGUGCUCUGGUGUCUCUUCUAAUAAAGACACCAAUCCUAUUGGAUCAGUGUUGCACCCUUACAAUCUCAUUUAAACUUAAUUACUUCCAUAUAAGUCUCAUCUCCAAAUACAGCCACACUGAGGGUUAAGGAUUCUACAUAUGAAUUUUGAGAGGCAAAAACUCUCAGUCUACAACACUAGUUUUUUUUUUUUUUUUUAAUUUUGUAGAUUGUUCUUUUGGUGUCCUAUUUAAAAAAUUAUUUCCUAACCCAAGGUCACAAAAGUUUCCUUCUGUAUUUUAUUGUUUUAGAUUUUACAUUUAGGUCUAUGAUCCAUUUUGAUUUAAUUUUCAUAUCUCUGUGAGCCUUGCUCAACUCAAAUAUGGGUUCUAAGAGUGAUUUUGAAGGUUCUACCAGAUUUUCUACAUAGACGAUCAUGUUACAGAUUCUCUAUACAGGCUGACCCCUAUGGCCUACUAAGAAUGAAUAAUUAAAACUCUAGGAAUCCCAGGGUUUGUUGGAGUUCAGGGUUGUCGCUGAGUGGUGGAAAUAUUGUUCUCAACCAAAAAAAAAAAAAAAAAUGUGGGGAUUACAUGCCAGUACCAUCCACCCCUGCAUUAGAAGUUUUCAUCGAAGAGCUUCAUUUCACAAGCUUUCAGCGUUGAUCUCACCUCCUCGAAGAUGACACAUCUGAUCCCUCUGUCUAAAAUAACAUCUUUAACAUUAAGAAAUCUCAAGUUUUCCAUUUGAGAAAUCUUCUGGAUUCUGCAUUCCAGUGGUUCCACUGAAGCCAGUAGGGCUGAAUACCCCAUGUAGGAACAGACUCAGCACAAGAAUGUAGGUUCUACAUUCUUAUCAUUUCAUUCCCCAUGCCCUAACCAAUCAGUGAUCCCAAUUCCUCAGCCCACUAUUCUCCAAAAUUUCCUUAAAUAUGCCCAUCCAAAACCCCUCAGGGAAGCAGAUUUGAGGUUCCCUUCAGUUCCCUUCUUUGGUUGCCCUAUGAUUAUUAAACUAUUUCUCUACUGCAACUCUUGCUGUUUCAG
rnacentral:lncRNA from 10 species